AACGCACAUUGCGCUCUCUGGUAGUCCGGAGAGCAUGCCCGUUUCAGUAUCAUUAAAACGUUCUCACACGUUGCUGGGUUUCCGUCAACGCGUGGAGAUUGGAUGAUUUGAACAGAGGCGCCUUUUUGGCAACGCUGUGGUCAAUCAUCUAGAAUCCAUGGUACAUGUGCUUGCUUUUGCUUGCCUGCCCUCUCCAGUGCAACAGAUUCAUUUGUUCUCACUGAUCGAGUAGCAGUUGCAGCGGGAUCAGGCGUUCUCCAUGUGCACCUUUGCUGUCAAAGGCACUUUAAGACUGAGGCAUUUGCUUCAGCUCUGAACCAUGGUCUGAAAUCGGGCAAGAAAACCCGCUGAACUUAA
rnacentral:misc_RNA from 1 species